rnacentral:rRNA from 1 species
CCUACGGGAGGCAGCAGUGAGGAAUAUUGGUCAAUGGGCGCGAGCCUGAACCAGCCAAGUAGCGUGAAGGAUGACUGCCCUACGGGUUGUACACUUCUUUUAUAAAGGAAUAAAGUGAGGCACGUGUGCCUUUUUGUAUGUACUUUAUGAAUAAGGAUCGGCUAACUCCGUGCCAGCAGCCGCGGUAAUACGGAGGAUCCGAGCGUUAUCCGGAUUUAUUGGGUUUAAAGGGAGCGUAGAUGGGUUGUUAAGUCAGUUGUGAAAGUUUGCGGCUCAACCGUAAAAUUGCAAUUGAUACUGGCAGUCUUGAGUACAGUUGAGGUAGGCGGAAUUCGUGGUGUAGCGGUGAAAUGCGUAGAUAUUAGGAGGAACACCAGUGGCGAAGGCGGCUCACUGGACUGUAACUGACGUUGAGGCUCGAAAGCGUGGGGAGCAAACAGGAUUAGAUACCCCUGUAGUC